rnacentral:rRNA from 1 species
UACAGAGGGGGCAAGCGUUGUUCGGAAUUACUGGGCGUAAAGGGCGCGUAGGCGGCCUGCUAAGUCGAACGUGAAAGCCCCUGGCUCAACUGGGGAAGUGCACCCGAAACUGAAUGGCUUGAAUGCAAAAGAGGGUCGCGGAAUUCCCGGUGUAGAGGUGAAAUUCGUAGAUAUCGGGAGGAACACCGGUGGCGAAGGCGGCGACCUGGGUUGACAUUGACGCUGAGGCGCGAAAGCGUGGGGAGCAAACAGG